CCUGCCUUUAAGUGGGGGAUAACACUUCGAAAGAAGUGCUAAUACCGCAUGUGAUGCUCUUUCAUAAGAAGGAUCAUUAAAACCGCAAGGUGCUUGAAGAGGGGUUUGUCUCCGAUUAGCUUGUUGGUGGGGUAACGGCCUACCAAGGCAAUGAUCGGUAGCUGGUCUGAGAGGGUGGUCAGCCACACUGGAACUGAGACACGGUCCAGACUCCUACGGGAGGCAGCAGCAAGGAAUCUUGGGCAAUGGGCGAAAGCCUGACCCAGCGACGCCGCGUGAGGGAUGAAGGCCUUCGGGUUGUAAACCUCUUUUCUCAGGGAAGAAUAAUGACGGUACCUGAGGAAUAAGUCUCGGCUAACUACGUGCCAGCAGCCGCGGUAAUACGUAGGAGGCGAGCGUUAUCCGGAUUUAUUGGGCGUAAAGUGGGCGUAGGUGGUCUUUCAAGUCAGAUGUGAAAUCUCCCGGCUCAACUGGGAGGGGUCAUCUGAUACUGUUGGACUUGAGUAUGGCAGGAGAAAACGGAAUUCCCGGUGUAGUGGUGAAAUGCGUAGAUAUCGGGAGGAACACCAGAGGCGAAGGCGGUUUUCUAGGCCAAAACUGACACUGAGGCCCGAAAGCGUGGGGAGCGAACAGGAUUAGAUACCCUGGUAGUCCACGCCCUAAACACUGGGUACUAGGUAUAGGGAGUAUCGACCCUUUCUGUGCCGAAGCUAACGCUUUAAGUACCCCGCCUGGGGAGUACGGUCGCAAGACUAAAACUCAAAGGAAUUGACGGGGGCCCGCACAAGCAGCGGAGCGUGUGGUUUAAUUCGAUCCUACACGAAGAACCUCACCAGGGUUUGACAUGUUAGAAGUAGUGAACCGAAAGGGGAACGACCUGUUAAGUCAGGAGCUAUCACAGGUGCUGCAUGGCUGUCGUCAGCUCGUGCCGUGAGGUGUAUGGUUAAGUCCUGCAACGAGCGCGACCCUUAUUGCUAGUUAUAUUCUCUAGCGAUACUGCCUCGCAAAACGGGGAGGAAGGUGGGGAUGACGUCAAGUCAGCAUGGCCCUUAUACCCUGGGCUACACACACGCUACAAUGGGCGGUACAUGGGUUGCCACCGGGUGACCGGGAGCUAAUCCCCAAAACCGCCCUCAGUUCGGAUUGCGGGCUGCAACUCGCCUGCAUGAAGUCGGAGUUGCUAGUAAACGCGUGUCAGCAUAGCGCGUUGAAUACGUUCUCGGGCCUUGUACACACCGCCCGUCACGUCAUGAAAGUUGGUAACACCUGAAGUCGAUAGGCUAACCCGCAAGGGAGGCAGUCGCCCAAGGUGGGACUGAUAAUUGGGACGAAGUCGUAACAAGGUA
rnacentral:rRNA from 1 species